rnacentral:rRNA from 1 species
UACGUAGGUGGCAAGCGUUGUCCGGAUUUACUGGGCGUAAAGAGCGCGCAGGCGGUCGUUCAAGUCGCGUGUGAAAGCCCCCGGCUCAACUGGGGAGGGUCACGCGAUACUGAUCGACUCGAAGGCAGGAGAGGGUAGUGGAAUUCCUGGUGUAGCGGUGAAAUGCGCAGAUAUCAGGAGGAACACCGAUGGCGAAGGCAGCUCGCUGGGACGGUACUGACGCUGAGGCGCGAAAGCGUGGGGAGCAAACAGG